rnacentral:rRNA from 1 species
CAGGAGGGUGCAAGCGUUGUUCGGAAUUACGUGGGACGUAAAGCGCGCGCGAGGCGGAAGUGACAAGUCUCGAGUAGAAACUCCCGCCGCUCAACGGCGGGGCUGCUUAGGAUACUGCACCUCUAGGGACCGGUAGAGGCUGGUAGAAUUGCAGGUGUAGCGGUGGAAUGCGUAGAGAUCUGCAAGAAUACCCGUGGCGAAGGCGGCCAGCUGGGCCGGAUCCGACGCUGAGGCGCGAAAGCGUGGGGAGCAAACAGGAUUGGAUACCCUGGUAGUCCACGCCGUAAACGAUGGGCACUAGGUGCCGGGGGGAGCGACCCCGUCGGUGCCGCAGCUAACGCGAUAAGUGCCCCGCCUGGGGAGUACGGCCGCAAGGCUG